CUCCUGCCUCAGCCUCCCGAAUGCUGGGAUUACAGGACAGAACCAAGUCAGAACCCUGUGACAAAUGCUACAGUCCCUGGAGGAGAGGCACCGUAGAACACAGCUGACCGGGGCUCCUGAGGGUGGUGGAGGUCGCGAAAAUCAAGGAGACACAGAGACUGCGUGUCCGGAGAUGAGAAGGAGACUCCAUGCGUAAUUGACCUGGGCCGGAUGCUGAAAGACAACACAACCAAAGCCAAAGAAGUCCCAGCACCGUGUGAAGUCCACUUCCCACGACGUUACAAGGUCCACUUCGCACUUGUGACAAGCUCCACGUGAUGCGUUCACAGGAACCGCAGUGGAGGUGGAUAGAAGACAGAGAUGGAUCUAAACUCAGCGCCCUAUUUUCAGUUCCCAGAACAGCUGAAAACAUGAACGAAAGCUGUCAUCACAUCUAAUAACAGCUAGAUACUGAAGCAAAACUAAUGGAAUGGGGUGAUCCUGAUCUUUAGGCUCAAAGCCAGAGCAUUUACUAGCUACAUGAUUUCAAACAAAUUGAGCAUCUGGAUCAAAUUUUCCUUUAAAACAUUUCCUGCAUCUUGGGCUGGGGAUGUAGCUCAGGAGUAGAAGGGAGCACAGGGGGUGCCAGGUGGGGGGUUCUGUCCCCAGCUUCCCUGUGCUGUACAGAUGUCGUGCACCUGCCACUGCUCAUCUGGGCUUCAGCCUCCAUCCUCUGGGGCCCCGCAUCGUGCUGUCCAGACCACGUGCCUCCUCACAGGGGCCUCUGGAUCAGCUUACCUGCUGCCCCAUAAAUAAGGUACAAUACAAAAUCUGAGUAAGACUUCUCAGUAAGACUUAUCCCGCCUUACAUGUGAGGAGGAAUAAUCCUCUAACUUUUACUGUGGAGACACACCACACACACACACACACACACACACACACACACACUCACUCCAUGAAACCCAACUAGUCUUCUACUGGGUGUCUUCCUGAAAGACUUAGACUCUGCACCACAGUGACCCAUGCACACCCGUGUUUACAGUGGCACAACUUACAGCAAAAUCUUGGAAGCAUUUAUA